AAAGCCUGAAAGGGGCAGCCGAACCCUAAGACAAUUCGCAUUCCGCGUCCAUGGCGACCAAGAAGCGGAAGGUCGACCAAGAGGACGAUCUCCUCCCCGCCGCCCCAAACCAUGCCGAUAAUCCCCUCCCCCAACUCCACCAGCAGCCCGUCGUCUACACGCAGGCGCCGGCCUCUGACGACGAGGACGGCGGCAGAGGCAGCGAAAGCGACCAGGACGACGACGACGACGACGUGGGGAAUCUCCUGGAGCCGAUCUCCAGGGACCGUCUCGUUGGCCUCCUCCGCUUCGCUGCAGCCUCCGACCCUGCAGCCCUCGCCGAGAUCCGCCGCGUCGCCGACCUCGACCCGGUCCACCGCAAGCUCUUUGUUCACGGCCUCGGCUGGGACACCACCGCUGAGGGCCUCCGCGCCGCCUUCGUUCGCUACGGCGACAUCGACGAUUGCCGCGUGAUCGUCGACAAGGCCAGCGGCCGAUCCAAGGGCUACGGCUUCGUUCUCUUCCGCCACCGAAGCUCCGCCCGCCGCGCUCUCCGCCGUCCCCAGAAGCUCAUCGACAACCGCAUGACCUCCUGCCAGCUCGCCUCCGCCGGCCCCUCCGCUUCCCUCCACCACCACAAUUCCGCGUCGCAACACCACCAAAACCCUAACCCUAACCCUGGCCCUGGUCCCGCAUCGCAUCAGGACAACAUCUCGAGGAAGAUCUACGUGGGGAACGUCCAUUCCGACAUUGAUGGUGGCCGCCUCCUCGCCUUCUUCUCCCAGUACGGUGAGAUCGAGGAGGGCCCCAUCGGCUUUGAUCGACACACCGGGAAGCCAAAAGGGUAUGCCCUUUUUGUCUAUAAGACGGUGGAGGGCGCCCUGAGAGCCCUCGAGGAGCCGAGCAAGAAUUUUGAAGGCCACCUGCUCCACUGUCAGAAGGCCACUGAUAAUAAGAGUAAGGGUGCACUGGUUCAGAACACAGCAGCUUCUCCCAAUGUGGUGCCGAGCACAGGAACUCUCAAUGGGCCUGGUUAUGCAUUGCCACCAUCAGAUAUCGGGUUAGCACAACAAGCUGCGAUGUUGGGACAGGGGCUUCUUGGCCUGGGGGGAGGACAAGCCUUUGGACAGGGAAUGCAGCCAAAUGUUGCGUUGCUAACACUAUUAGCGACAGCUGGGCAGAAUCCAGCAGCUUUUGGAGUUACGCCGGCCAUGCUUGCUUCACUGAAUCCUGCUUUUGCUGCUGCAUUUGGUGCAACGGGGACCCAGCAAGCUGUACCUCCUUCAGCCGUACCCCAGACAGCACAGAUGGCCAGCUAUGGAAUGGGAAGUGCUGGGUAUCAGGUGGCUUCAGGGUUUCAGGGGCAUACGGGUUUUCAAGGCUCGCCAGGGUUUCAAGGGCCUCCAGGUCUUCAGGGCACUCAUCCAACUGCUCAACAAGGAGGAGCAGGAGGUGUUAGCUCUUACCCUACAGCGCCAGGUUCAAUGUCAAGGCCACCAACUGGACCAAUGGGUGGAUACGGUCCACUUUAGGUCGUCGAUUGAGGUUUGGUACAGCAUUGCCUUCUAGUUUCUUGCUGGCGUUUACAUUUUCAAAAAUCAAUAGGUUCGAGAAUGGGACGUGUCCUCAUUUGAUCUUUGACCAUGUACAAUGAUGAGGCUGUUGUGGAUGCGCAACAUGCUUUUCCUACAUCCUUAAGCUGUAAGGUUACUGUAAGCGUUCUUUUUCUAUGUGGAGGUCAUGUAGCUUCUUCCAACAGAAUAUGUGCCCAUGCUUCCUGAAACUUGAGAUUACUAGAUUCACAGUCACAUGUCUCUUAACUGUUAUGUGCCAUGAAAGAAUCUUUAAGUUGGUUUGUUUUAGUUUGCUAGCUGCAAUGACCACCAAAUAGUUGUAAGUUCUACUUGAUGGUAGAGACCUAUCAUGUUGCAUGCUGAAUUAAAGCAUCAUAAUUUGCACAAAUCUUCUGGCUGCAGGUUGUGAUCAUAGCGAAGGGUUGUCUUUAGUUAUUGUUAUUGUUUUUAUUAUUGUUUGAGUUGACUGAAAAGCUAAAAAAUUUGUGCCACUUCUCAAUAUUUUAACUUUUUUUUUUUUCGGUCUUUUAUCUUGACGCCAUUCAUAGAUCUGAAGGCUGCGCUGAUCAUUGCUAGGCAUUUUAGUUAGAAGAAAUAAUUAUUGUCUUUAUGCCAAUCAUGAUGAAUGAAGAGGUAUAGAAAUAGAAAUGUAAGAGAACAUUAAAGAAAUUAAGAAUAAGAGGGAAGGAGGCCUAUGGAUAAAAAAGAUACAUACUGUCACUAUUGAGGCUAACAUCUAUAUGUCAAGAAGAUUCCAGCCAGGCGUGUUUGCUCUCCAAAUUAUUUUUCUAAUAUAACUUAUCUAUGAAAUUUAGAAAUAAAACAAAGCUUCCUUAGAAUAAACGAUAUGAAGUCUCAAAAAAUAUAGUGACACAAACAUUUGUCACAUUUCUAAACCUCAAUUGCAGUAACUCCUCAAAAGCACCAACAAAUUAGAAGUAUGUUACAAGCAUGCAUAUACCUGAUGCAACUUUAAAGUAAAGUUGCCUGAAAAAUGAUAACAACAAUAAUGAAAGCCAUAUGUAACAACAUAUUUAGUGAUAUGAAAAUCCUUAGUCAACUGGCAUCAUUCUUCUACUUUUGGUACAGUCAUUUCAAUCUCUUGCAUCUCCUUUUGGAAAUAAAGGAGGAUGAGUGAAGUAGGAGAAGAAGAGAGGAUGAGGCGAAGAUACCAGAGAUGAAGAAGUGGCAGUAGCAAGGUAGUGAACGACACAAGGGAACAGACUGUAAGGCGAGAGAGAGGAGUGUGGGAGGAAAAUAAACUAAAAAGACAAUUGGGAUAGAGAGGAGUGUGGUAGGAAAAUAAACUAAAAAGACAGUUGUCACUAUCUGCCAAAAAAAAAAAAAUCCAGUUGCAAACUGACCAAGCAAAAUUGUGUGGUUUUUAAAUAUAGUCGGUACAGAUUGGUCUGACCAGUUUUUCAAGCCAUGUCCUGUCUAUCAUGUAGCCAUGUUUACCUUCUCAAGCAAUAUGAGCUUUUAAUGACGACGGGAGGGAAAUGUAGCAUUAGAUGGUGGCACAUUAUUCAGUUGGUAGGAGUGAUAAGUAGUUUUAAUUAUCAUAUAUAAAGAUGCUAGAGUUGUAACGCCCUAAUUUUAAUAGGGGCAAUUUUGUAUUAUCACUUCAUAAUUGGAAGUCAGAGUUAGGAUUAACCCCACUUCUCUUUAUAUGUAGUCAUCAUCUUCCCACCCUAAUCAUGAUAAAAAGUUAUCGAGGAGAGGAUGAUGUUAGGGCAUCACCUACAAAAGAUAGAGGUAGACAUUCAAAUAUUUGACUCUCUCUAUCUUCUUUGGAUGUUAUGAUGUAGGGAUCCAAAUUCUUGACUUUUCAUUAGCUUUAGAUGUUAUGAUGUAGGGAUCCAAAUUCUUGACUUUUCCUUAUCUUUAGAUGUUAUGAUGGAGGGACCCUCUUCUUCUCUCAUUGCUAUCUCCUUGAUGUUAGUCUUUUAUUUUUUUCUUCAAUUUAUUGAUGCUUAUGUUGCUUUGACUGAUUAUAAUAUCUUCUACGAAUGAAUCAAUAUUAUUAUUUAGAGUCAUAGUGGACACAAGUCAUCCGAUUAACGCAUGAACCUAUUUAUUUGUUAAAACUAAAUCUAUGUUGGAAAGGAUUUUGAACAUAAGAUAUUUGCAUCAAUUUUGUUUAUUAGUCCAAGUGUUUCUGCAGUUGGUGAGGUAACUCUUAUUAAUCUUAGUUUCUAUCGUAUGUAGUCAUGUGUAGAAGUUAUUAUAAUCCUUAUAAGUUUGACAUGACAAUUUGAUUUGCUUGAUAGAAAGGUUUAUGUUAAGCACUAAACUUAUUCACAUGAAUUAAAUAUCAAUUUAAUUAUAAAGAAUUGUUAAAUAUUGGAAAUUGAUCCAAAUUAUGUUAGUGAUGAUCUAUAUUUUCUUGAGAUCUAAUUUAUAAUUCUGGAGGAUUGAUCAAUAAAGCCUAUGGAUAUGGUUGUAAUAUUCGAGGGCUGAUAUGUUUAUGUGGAACUGUGAAUACUAUGAUACUAAAUAAUAAUAUUAAUUCAUUUGUGGAAGAUAUUCAUAUUGAUCAAUGCAAUAUAAAUAUCCAUAAAAAAGAAGAAGAUUAUUAACAUCAAGUGAUAACAAGGAGAGGAAAGAACGGUCCCUAUAUUAUAACAUUUAGAGAUGAUAGGGAAAGCCAAGGAUUCGGAUUCCUAUAUCAUAAUAUCUAGAGAAGAUAGCAACAACCAAAGAUUCAUAUCUCUAUCUUUGUCUUCUAUAGGUGAUUUCCAAAUGUCAUCAUCUUCUCCUUCUCGAUAGUUGCCCUCUCCCUAAUGAUUAGGGAGGGGGAUGAUGGCUGCAAAUAAAGGGGAGAGAGUUACUCCUAACUCUAGGCUCCACUUAUGAAGUGAGAUUAUAAUAUAUACCCUAUUUAAAAUUAGGGUAUUACAAAAUCUUAGUUUGAUAAUUUGGCUAUAAGUUUUCUUUUUAGAUGCUAACUUGUGUCUAGAAACUGUUGUGGUACCCUGACAAUUUUCCAUCUAUGAUAAAAUAGGAUAGAAAAAGGACUCUUGCAGGUGAUCCAUGUAAGAUUUGGAUAGGAGAUUUCAGCUGACAUAAAUUGUUUGAUAGGAUCUUAAAGAAUUGAGGUCUUCUGGAAGAACUCAUGACUGAAUAAAUUUUGAAUUCCAAAUGAAGUGCAUACCAGAAAUAAAAUAAUCGAAUUAUUUCACUUUCGAAGUCUUUGUUGCUGUUAAUAUAAUGGUUUUCAUGCGCCUUAAUGUUGCAACCAUCAGUUUGCCAUAUGUGAUGUAUGAUAUUUCAGUCUUUUUACCAUCUUGUGUUUUAUGUGUUUUGUCAUUUUUGAAUGUUCAUUAGAGAAUAAAAAACUUUUUGGGCUGGUUUGGAAUCUAUUGACCUUGAUUAUUUCAUCACAAUCUUAUUCACUAGUUAUGAUGCUGUUUUGUUUGAUAUUGUUAGAUGUAGCAUGUUUAACUAGGAAAGUAAUCUGGAAGAUGAUCCCCCAUAACUUGGUCAUUGUAAGCAGUUUUAGGAAUAUUAAGAUAAUUUCUGCCAUGUCAAAGUAAGGUAUGAGGUUUCACUACUUUGGGAUAGUGAUAUAUUUAUAUGGACUUCUCAUGUCCCUGAUCUGAUGGGUUUUGUGAUGGAAUAGUCAGAUCAGCCUCUUUCCCUUGUGCAACUAGAGGAAAGAGAUAAUAGUGCUAGCUUUCCCAGUGAUUGGCAACCUUGGCAUUGAGAAGUCACCAAUCACCACUCUUGAGCCUAUCUGAGAAAUCAGACAUCACAAAUACUUGUAGGGGGAAGUCCGAUGUUACACGAUAGCACUCUGGGAAGCUCUACCAGGAAUACCACCGAAUUAGUUAAUUGUAGAUGUUAAAAAAUUUGUUGUCAAUUAUGCUAUUUGUACAAACAAAACAAAAUCAAUUGGAAAUUCAAGUUUGUUGCAUCAUAGCUCGAGAGAAUAUCAAGGUACUUUUUGUAAGUUGUAGACUUGUCCAAGUUCGUCGUGUCGACCUGUAUCAGGUGGUAUAGGCGGUAUAGACUAGUCUGAUAGGGGAUUAACACGUAGACUGCCCUGUAACGGGCGGUCCAUAAUAGGGGGCCUUGUAUCGAGCGAUUUGUGGUCUCUAUCGGGCGGUACGAACGAAAUUCAAUCGUUUUUAACUUGUACUAGUCUAUAACGGUCGGAUUUUGAUCGUUUCACUCAGUAUAGACUCUAUAUUGCCCGUAAGUCUGUUGAUGUUGGCAUCAACAUCAACUGAAGCUUGAAAACCAUUAAAGUGUGUUUGGAGGUAUAGAUAAGGUAAAAACUUCAAAGCUUUAAAUUCUUUGACGUGAAUUCAAAACUCUUAUGAUGAAAGAUUCUAAAUCUAUUGUUGGUUUUUGUUUUUAAAGUCUCUUCUAUUGUGAACCAAAUGAGGUCUUAUGGUGAGAACCUAAAGAUCAAACAGUUAUAAAAAAAGUUUUAUGGAGUUUAUCUCCAAAAUUUGAUAUAAUUUCUACUACUAUAUAAGAAGCUAAAGAUAUAAGUAUAUUGUUUUUUGAUGAAUUAAGGGGCUCGCUUUUAGUUCAUGAACAAAAAGUGAACAUAUCUUCAGAUGAAACGUCAGAACAUGUUCUUCAAAUGAAGAUAGAUUAGAAGGAUCAAAAGAAAAAUUCAGAAAUCAAAUCUCAAGGGAGAGAUCAAAAUGGUAGAGGCUAUGGACGAUCUGAUGCUCGAGGAAGGGGACGAGGUCAAUCAAAUGAGAGUCAGAGGAACUCCAAUGAAGGUAACAAAGAAACUUUUAAUGUUUUUGUAGUGCUUUGGAUUCAUACAAGAACACUUAUUUAUAUUAGCCAAAAGAUAGAGUAUAAGUUUUUUUAAAUAAUGAAGAAAUCCACCGUAGCCUAAUAGAUCUGUUUACUCUCAUCUAUUUAUCUUAAUCUAAAUUCUUAUAUUGUGUUUCAUCUAAUCUCAACUAUUUUGAAUCAAGAGGGUGUGAUAAGUUUAAUUCAAUGACGAAAAAAAGCAAGAUGGACGAAUUAAAAUCUACUACGACAACAAGUCAACUAUUGCAAUGACGAAAAAUCCUAUCUUCGACGGGCAUACCAAACACAUCGAAGUUUGACAUCAUUUCAUUUGUAAACUAGUUGAUAAAGAAGAAAUUCAAAUGAACUACUGUAAUAUCGAAGAUCAAUUUGUCGAUAUUUUUACUAAAGCUUUGGCUAAAGAAAAAAAUUAUUUUUUUCCGAAUAGUUAGGAUUAGAUGAAACAAAAGUUAAGGAUUUAAAUUAAGAUAAAUAAAUGAGGGUAAGGAGAUCUGUUGGGCUAUGAUUGAUUUCUUCAUUAUUUUAAAAAAAUUAUACUUUAUCUUUUGGCCAAUAUAAAUAGGUGCUCUUAGAUGAAUCCAAAGCACUACGGAUUGAAAGUACUCAUCGUUGAUUUCUUUAAUAUUUAAAAAAAAUUGUACUUUAUCUUUUGGCCUACAGAUUGAAAGUACUCAUCAUUCCUUUUAUCUUCUUGACGGGUUUAUUAUCGAUGAAGGGUUAGAAUUUGUUGAAUUCAAACAGUCCAUUUGAUCGUUUGAACCAGAUUUAAGGGUUUUUAAACCCUUUCUACCACCUCAAUUCAUCCGUUGGAAAGAAUUGAGUUGGGCGACGAGACAACUUCUCAAUCGCAUUCAGCAACCUGCUUAGUCCAUAGAUGUGGCAGCGACGUGGACAACAGUGCCUCAACCGAUGACGGUGGCAACGUUAGAGAGUCAAUCCCCUACUCGAGGAAUCCUAUCGUUUUUUUUGGUGGUAGAACCAGAUAAUUCAAUAUCAACAGAAGGAUGAUCUGAAAUCUGUCACAAAGCUACUCCUCAAAGCUCAAAAAAGAUAUGUACCACUUUUUUUUCAUAAUUUAGAAUAUUUUUGAUGAAAUUAUACUAUAUUUAUAUUUAUUUCCAACUUAAAAACCCUAAUCUAAUUUUUUUUAUUUUCAGAUAAUUUUAGAGUAAUUUUUGGUCUUUUUAUUGUGUCGUCGGCACGCCCUGUCAUGGUGACACUUGGCACAUCGGCAUGGGGUGGCACUUACCGUGUUGUCGAUUGGCUGUCACAUCGGUUUGGACCACAGGUAACCCCUGGUGCAAGCCUCCUUAUCAAGCAAUCCGUGAGGCAAGCACUCCAUUGAUGACAGUUGUUUCCACAAUAUAAGCCGCCACCUGAUCUAUGUUACCACCAAUCCUUGAGCUGAAACCUCUUGCUUAAAGUCUUUUACAGAGAACUUGGCAUGUAAAAAAAGUUGUCCGCUUGGGGAAUCAUUGCUUAGCAGCAGCUCAUUGUGUUUGACCAACCAGGACACAAUAUAUCACCAUAUGAAGCCCAGCUGUCCAAAUGUCUUCCCCAACCUGAGCUGCAGCAAGUCUUAAAGGAUAUGAAAAAUUGAACUGUCAUAUUUUAGGAGUCGAAGACAGAAGAAGCUACUGCAACUCAACUGACACGAAAAAAACUACAUUAGCCGUGCAAACCCAGGGAGCCUGGCUUACAGUUAGAUCUUGUGAGCACGACAUUUUGGUAAAGCAGUAAUAUGGAUCAUCUGUAGAACAACACUCCAGUUGGAUUUUUGUUAGAACUCAUUUCUGAUGCCAGGACAGCAUACAUAAAAGGUACUGUAUUCUUCAGUGGAGCGAGAUUUUAGUUCACUAAAGGAAGAAAAAGAUGAAACACAGGCAGCUUUCAGAUUUUGCUUCCUCAAA